rnacentral:rRNA from 1 species
UACGAAGGGGGCUAGCGUUGCUCGGAAUCACUGGGCGUAAAGGGUGCGUAGGCGGGUCUUUAAGUCAGGGGUGAAAUCCUGGAGCUCAACUCCAGAACUGCCUUUGAUACUGAAGAUCUUGAGUUCGGGAGAGGUGAGUGGUAACUGCGAGUGUAGAGGUGAAAUUCGUAGAUAUUCGCAAGAACACCAGUGGCGAAGGCGGCUCACUGGCCCGAUACUGACGCUGAGGCACGAAAGCGUGGGGAGCAAACAGGG